rnacentral:rRNA from 1 species
UACAGGGGGUGCAAACGUUGCUCGGAAUCAUUGGGCCUAAAGCAUCCGUAGCCGGUUCUACAAGUCUUCCGUUAAAUCCAGCUGCUUAACAGAUGGGCUGCGGAAGAUACUAUGGAGCUAGGAGGCAGGAGAGGCAAGCGGUACUCGAUGGGUAGGGGUAAAAUCCGUUGAUCCAUUGAAGACCACCAGUGGCGAAGGCGGCUUGCCAGAACGCGCUCGACGGUGAGGGAUGAAAGCUGGGGGGAGCAAACCGG